GUUAGGUUUAAUUUUAGUCUAAGAAUUAGGUUUUUAUUAUUAUUUUAUGAUUAUUUUUUUUUGAUAUUUUUUUUAUUUAGUAUUUAUGUUUAAUUGUUUGGUAAUUUAUGAUUUAGGUAUUUAUUUUAUUAUUAAUUAAUUUUGUGCCAGCAAUUGCGGUUAUACAAGUGAUAAAAUUUAAUAUUUUUUUUUUGGUAUAUAAUUAUUUUUUUUUAUAUAUAAUUUUUAUUUGUAGGUGAAAUUUUAUUAAUUAUUUAUUUUUUAAUAUUUGAUAUUAUUAAAGGUUGAUUUAAUACUAGGAUUAGAUACCCUAUUAUUCAAUUAAUUAGAUUUUUUUUUUACUAAUUAGUUUAUUUUCUUAUAAGUAAAGGGAUUUGGCGGUAUUUUAAAUUUUUCAGAGGAACCUGUUCUGUAAUUGAUAAUUCACGAUUUAUUAUACUUUUGUUUUUAGUUUAUAUAUCGUUGUUAUUUGAAUAUUUUUUUAGAAUAAUAAAUUUUCAAUCUUUUUUUUAAUUAAGGUCAGAUCAAGAUGUAGUUUAUAUAAAAGUAGUAAUGGGUUACAUUUAAUUUAUUUAUUUUUCAAUUUUUUUUUAUUUGUUUUUAUUGGAUUUGAUAGUAAAUUUUUAUUAGAUUUUUAUUUUGAUUUUUUCUUUAAAUAUGCACAUAUUGCCCGUCACUUUCAUUUAAGUGAAAUAAGUCGUAACAAAGUAGAUGUACUGGAAAGUGUAUCUAGAAAGAU
rnacentral:ncRNA from 1 species